GCCCAAAUCAGGGAGGCCGAGGGUGUCAGUGUUAACCAAAUAGGGUGUCAGUGUUUAACCAAUAGGGUGUCAGUGUUAACCAAUAGGGUGUCAGUGUUAACCAAUAGGGUGUCAGUGUUAACCAAUAGGGUGUCAGUGUUAACCAAUAGGGUGUCAGUGCAUAAGUCAUACCAACACAGGGGAGAGAGUACGGCCCCACUCAGGAGGCCGCGAGGUGUCAGUGUUAACGCAAUAGGGUGUCAGGGUUAACCAAUAGGGUUGUCAGUGCAUAAGUCAUGACCAACACAGGGGAGAGAGCACUGCCCCACUCAGGAGGCCCUAGGGUGUCAGUGUUAACCAAUAGGGUGUCAGUGCCUAAGUCAUACCAACACAGGGAGAGAGCACUGCCCCACUCAGAGGCCCUAGGUGUCAGUGUUAACCAAGAGGGUGUCAGUGCAUAAGUCAUACCAAAACAGGGGAGAGAGCACUGCCCCACUCAGGAGGCCCUAGGGUGUCAGUGUUAACCAAUAGGUGUCAGUUGCAGAAGUCAGACCAACACAGGGGGAGAGAGCGCUCCCCA
rnacentral:lncRNA from 1 species